GCCUUCGUGGUGUAGUGGUCUGCAUGCUAGACGCGUAACCGAGAGGUCCGUGGUUCGAUUCCCGGCGAAGGCA
rfam:Stegodyphus mimosarum contig102125, whole genome shotgun sequence.